rnacentral:tRNA from 1 species
GAGGGUAUAGUUCAGUGGUAGAGUACAUGCCUAGCAUGUAUGAGGUCCUGGGUUCAAUCCUCAGUAUCUCCA